UGAAAGUCCUCAUACUAUUAAAUAAAGAUUCACUAGACAUAGGGACUUAAUAACUCCCUGGAGCAUUGAUCCUUCAUUUUACAAAUUAGGCAGCAAAUACCAGGUUCUACUUUCUUGUUAGUAGAGCAGGAAGAAAAGAUGUGUGGCCUAAGCAUAACUUAACAAAGCAUGAUUUAGCGUUACUGGAAAACUUAGUUUGUUUACUUCAAGACAAAAUAUUUGUGAGAGUUUAAAUCUCUAUUCAAGUAUUAGUAACUACUCUUAAAACAUGUUUUGGAGCAAAAACACUUCUCUUAGCCUUAAUUUGACUUUGCAGGCUGUACCUCAUUUCUCUCAACCUAUAUUUUUCUGCAGCUGCUGAAAUCUCUAAGGAAUAUCUCUCCAUGGAGACAGAGCCAGACGGCCCAAGUCUCUUCUCUGUUCUUGAGUUCCUGUUUUCAAGUAAUGAUUUGGAUAAACUGGAGACCAGUUUCCUUUCCUCCAACUCUGGCAGCUGAAAUUAAUUCUCCAAAGACUCCUCUUUGGAGGCAAGCAGAUGGUACACAUGCACAUGUUUUAGUUUCGAUUGUACCAGUUUUGAAUAAUUUAAAGUUCCAAAUCUCUAUAAAACUACUGUAUUCCCAUUUCCCAAUACAUUUUUUUCUUUUGCCUCAGAAAUUCUUUCGUUAUAUUUUGACAUUUGGCUGAAACUUCGUUCACUUUGUACUGGCUUCAUUGUCACACACCUCCUGCUGUUCUUUGUUACAAUUUUAGAUAAGUAUGGCUUUAGAAAACUAAGAUGCUUUUAGAAACUAUUCUGCUGGUGAUUUUCCCUUUACCAUUUGCAAAGCAUUUUGUAUACAUAAACAGCACAUUAGCCAAAUGAUAUUGUUAUCACAGUUUCUGUUGGUCUGCACUUGGCUCUCGCUUUAGAAUUACCCCAAAUAGGUUUGCAGAAUUUUAUAGUUGCAUUAUGAGGCACUCAAUAAUAUGUAUGAACUUAGGCAUUUCUUUUCUGCCAUUCUGUUUGAGAAACAGCCCAUCCUAUCUCUGCUGAAGAUUCAUUGCUGCUUCAGGUAGAACGUGAUAAAGUUUGGAAAACAGAAACUCAGAACAACUGAAGAGAGCCUCAGAAAUCUCAUCUUUUUGAUAGAACACUUCCCUUAGGGACUUUAACAAUUGCUAUGCAGAAUCAACAAAUAAAUAACUUUCAGUGGUGUUUUGUCUCUCUUGAUUUCAACCAUUCAAGUGAUGUGACUUCUACCACUUCCCUUGAGGGGUAAUUCCAUAUUCCAGCAGUUUUCACUGUCAGGAAGUUUCUCAUGCGCUCUACCCAAGUUGUCUUUUCUCUAACUUCCUUCCAUUUCUGAGUUACACCAAAUCUGAACACAUCACUAAAUGGCUUCUCAUUUCUAGUGAGGGCUUACACUUUUAAACAUUUGGCUGACUAGUGUUUUAUUUCUCACUUUCCCAAGAGUUAUAUAUUUACCUCCAACACACUUCUUUCUUCAGUCACUCUACUGUCUUCAUCAAUUUCAAGCCCUUCCCUGAAUAGCCUUUAAAUUUGUUUCCUAAAUAGUUUGAAGCGAGGCAUAGGAAAAUCAUAGUUCUUCUAUAAACCACUUAAAACAGUACCAAUAUUUAUGUGUUUCAAUUCACAACAAAAGCCAAGAAAUCAGAAAGUAGAUCGCUGACAAAAUAAUGAGGGAAUAGGACUUCCACCUUAGGGACUGCUUUAAUUUGAGAACUGAAAGAUCACUUCUCGAGAAUCUGUUGCAGAAACAGUGUACUAAAAAUGGAAUUUCAAAAUUCACAGAAUUGUAAGUCUUGCUCCGUCUCCCAGGCUGGAGUGCAGUGGCACCAUCUUGGCUCAUUGCAACCUCUACCUCCCGGGUUCAAGCGAUUCUCCUGCCUCAGUCUUCCAAGUAGCUGAAAUUACAGGUGUGUGCCACCAUGCCCAGCUAUUUUUCUGCAUUUUUAGUAGAGACAGGGUUUCACCAUGUUGGUCAGGCUGAUCUUGAAAUUCUGACUUCAAAUCAUCCGCCUGCCUCAGCCUCCGAAAGUGCUUGGAUUACAGGCAUGAGCCACCGAACCCGGCCGACUAUGACAUUCUUUUUCUUAGGAAUGUGCAAUCUGAACUCAGUUGCUGUUAGUUUCCUUUAGUAGCUAGAACUAAACUGACUUAAAUUUAAGAGUUAAGGGGCAAGAAUGCAUAUGGGGGAGAAGCUGCAGAUCCAGCCAGUAGAGAGAAAAGAAUAAGGCAAAGAAGCACAGAGAGUAGAAAAGAAAAAUAAUGUUGCAGACUCAACAAAAUGGUGAGAAAAUAAUUCUUAGAAUCCUGGCAGCUUUUAGUCCCUGAUCUAAACAUUCCUGGCUUAUAGUUAUUGCAGUCUUGGGAUACUGCAAGAUACCAGUUGCCUUCUAGCAUAAUCAAUGGUUUUGUUUAAACUAGUAGAUUUAAGUACAAUAGUAAUGAAUAUCCUAUUAAGCUGAAUUUAUUGCAAGAAUUUUUUUCAAAUUUGUAUACUUUUUGUUACUUGAAAUAAUAAAAAUUAAACUUCUAUAACUAUCAUGUGAUAAUUAUGGAAAAUUAUAUAUGCUAUAUGUAAUAUAUUUGGACAAAAUUAUAAAUCUGUAAAUAAAAUAAUAGCUGAUAUUUGUUGAAGAGUUAUUGUGCAUCAGAUUCUGUUAUUAAACACAUUUGAUUGUAUUAACACAUUUAAUUCCUCAAUAACCUUAUGAGGUAAAUAUAUCACUACUGUUUUAUACAUGAGGAAAUUGUGGUGUCUUGUUCAAGAUCAGUCAUCUAGUUACAGGCAGAAUUUGAGAUUGCAUCCCAAAAGUCACACCCCAGAGCCCAUAUUCUUAAUCAUUAUUUGUUGGGCUCAGCUUCCUGUAUUUGUCCACUGAAUUAAGAUUAUAAUAUUUUAAAAAUCAUAUAUUCUUAAAAAAAACUUUGGACAUUUGAGCUAUUACAAUCUAGGUGAUUUUUAUCAUUUGUCAAAUAUAACUAUAGACUUGUCAAUUUCUUUUUGCAAUUCUG
rnacentral:lncRNA from 10 species